rnacentral:rRNA from 1 species
CCUUUAGAGUUUGAUCUUGCUCAGGACGAACGCUGGCGGCGUGCCUAAUACAUGCAAGUCGAGCGGACAGAUGGGAGCUUGCUCCCUGAUGUUAGCGGCGGACGGGUGAGUAACACGUGGGUAACCUGCCUGUAAGACUGGGAUAACUCCGGGAAACCGGGGCUAAUACCGGAUGGUUGUCUGAACCGCAUGGUUCAGACAUAAAAGGUGGCUUCGGCUACCACUUACAGAUGGACCCGCGGCGCAUUAGCUAGUUGGUGAGGUAACGGCUCACCAAGGCGACGAUGCGUAGCCGACCUGAGAGGGUGAUCGGCCACACUGGGACUGAGACACGGCCCAGACUCCUACGGGAGGCAGCAGUAGGGAAUCUUCCGCAAUGGACGAAAGUCUGACGGAGCAACGCCGCGUGAGUGAUGAAGGUUUUCGGAUCGUAAAGCUCUGUUGUUAGGGAAGAACAAGUGCCGUUCAAAUAGGGCGGCACCUUGACGGUACCUAACCAGAAAGCCACGGCUAACUACGUGCCAGCAGCCGCGGUAAUACGUAGGUGGCAAGCGUUGUCCGGAAUUAUUGGGCGUAAAGGGCUCGCAGGCGGUUUCUUAAGUCUGAUGUGAAAGCCCCCGGCUCAACCGGGGAGGGUCAUUGGAAACUGGGGAACUUGAGUGCAGAAGAGGAGAGUGGAAUUCCACGUGUAGCGGUGAAAUGCGUAGAGAUGUGGAGGAACACCAGUGGCGAAGGCGACUCUCUGGUCUGUAACUGACGCUGAGGAGCGAAAGCGUGGGGAGCGAACAGGAUUAGAUACCCUGGUAGUCCACGCCGUAAACGAUGAGUGCUAAGUGUUAGGGGGUUUCCGCCCCCUUAGUGCUGCAGCUAACGCAUUAAGCACUCCCGCCUUGGGAGACCCCCCCU